GGGGGUAGCUCAGUGAUAGAGUGUUUGCUUGGUGUGCACAAGGUCUUGGGUUCAAUCCCUAGUGCCUCCA
rnacentral:tRNA from 1 species